rnacentral:rRNA from 1 species
UACGUAGGGGGCAAGCGUUGUCCGGAAUCACUGGGCGUAAAGCGCGCGCAGGCGGUCAUCUACGUCUGGGGUGAAAGCCCGGAGCUCAACUCCGGGACUGCCUUGGAUACGGGAUGACUUGAGGAUCGGAGAGGCAAGGGGAAUUCCACGUGUAGCGGUGAAAUGCGUAGAGAUGUGGAGGAACACCUGUGGCGAAGGCGCCUUGCUGGCCGAUUUCUGACGCUGAGGCGCGAAAGCGUGGGUAGCAAACAGG